rnacentral:SRP_RNA from 1 species
AGUCGGGUCCUGCGCAACAAAUGACCGCAAACCCCGCCAGGUCCGGAAGGAAGCAACGGUAGCCGUCCUCUUUGUGUGCCGCAGGGGUGCCUGGCUACC